GUGGGUAUAGCUCAGUGAUAGAGCACCUGUUUAGCAAGCACAACGUCCUGGGUUCAAUCCCCAAUACCUCCA
rnacentral:tRNA from 1 species